rnacentral:rRNA from 1 species
UACGUAGGGUGCAAGCGUUGUCCGGAAUUAUUGGGCGUAAAGAGCUCGUAGGCGGUUUGUCGCGUCUGCUGUGAAAACCCGAGGCUCAACCUCGGGCCUGCAGUGGGUACGGGCAGACUAGAGUGCGGUAGGGGAGAUUGGAAUUCCUGGUGUAGCGGUGGAAUGCGCAGAUAUCAGGAGGAACACCAAUGGCGAAGGCAGAUCUCUGGGCCGUAACUGACGCUGAGGGACGAAAGCUAGGGGAGCGAAUGGG